UUCCAUGAUAGGCACAGCUCCUGAGAAGCUUGGACAGAUGAGGAGCGAGCGCAGGAAGAAGCCUAGGCAGCCAGGGCCGUCUAGCAUCCAGAAAGCGACUCUUCAUGUCUCAAUUACAAGGACAUUCUUAAACUUCUGUGCUUGGAAGAAGCAAUCCAGAUGUCUAGAACUUGCCUAAGUACAAACCCGAUGCCAUUGAGUUUCAAUUUUUUUCUUAGAACUUGUUAAAAUACAAGUGGCAAUGCUCAGGUGCUUCUGGUGUAUCCCAAGGUACACAUUUUUAGACUGUAACCACAAUAUGUGUAAAAUCACUCCUGUUCAUGUUUUUAAAUGAAAAUUAAAUAUUUGAUUUUCUAUAGUGAUUGC
rnacentral:lncRNA from 1 species